rnacentral:rRNA from 1 species
AUUGAACGCUGGCGGCAGGCCUAACACAUGCAAGUCGAACGAGUGGCGGACGGGUGAGUAAUGUCUGGGAAACUGCCUGAUGGAGGGGGAUAACUACUGGAAACGGUAGCUAAUACCGCAUACCAUCAGAUGUACCCAGAUGGGAUUAGCUUGUUGGUGGGGUAACGGCUCACAAAGGCGACGAACCCUAGCUGGUCUGAGAGGAUGACCGGCUAAACUGGAACUUGGACACGGUGCAGACGCCGACGGUAGGCAGCAUUGGGGAAUAUUGGACAAUGGGCGCAAGCCUGAUGAAGCCAGGCCGCUGGUAUGAAGAAGGCGUUCGGGUUGUAAAGUACUUUCAGCGGGGCGGCGUUACCCGCAGAAGAAGCACCGGCUAACUCCGUGCCAGCAGCCGCGGUAAUUC